rnacentral:rRNA from 1 species
AGUGAACGCUGGCGGUAGGCCUAACACAUGCAAGUCGAACGGCAGCACAGUAAGAGCUUGCUCUUACGGGUGGCGAGUGGCGGACGGGUGAGGAAUACAUCGGAAUCUACUUUUUCGUGGGGGAUAACGUAGGGAAACUUACGCUAAUACCGCAUACGACCUACGGGUGAAAGCAGGGGAUCUUCGGACCUUGCGCGAUUGAAUGAGCCGAUGUCGGAUUAGCUAGUUGGCGGGGUAAAGGCCCACCAAGGCGACGAUCCGUAGCUGGUCUGAGAGGAUGAUCAGCCACACUGGAACUGACACGGUCCAGACUCCUACGGGAGGCAGCAGUGGGGAGUAUUGGACAAUGGGCGCAAGCCUGAUCCAGCCAUACCGCGUGGGUGAAGAAGGCCUUCGGGUUGUAAAGCCCUUUUGUUGGGAAAGAAAAGCAGCAGGUUAAUACCCCGCUGUUCUGACGGUACCCAAAGAAUAAGCACCGGCUAACUUCGUG